CUCUUCCUCGCUCCCCAGUCCGCGCCUCGCUGGGCUCAGCACCCCGGCCCCCGGCGGGACGGAGGCUCGGGUCCAAAGCAGUGGCUGCACCGACACGAACCCGUCUGCGUUUCUCCACCUGUCUUCCCUCGCCACCUGCAUCUACUAUGGUCUCUAAAUGCCUCGCUUUGUACUUUGUGGCUUUCUGGCAGCCCUUUAAAGCAGCGGUGAAAGAAAGGAGAGAGUCAAGACACGGGAGAAAAUGUUUCAUCCCGGGUUCUUCUAGUGGUGCCCGCCUUGACACGACUCGGGGGACUGCCUAAGCAAAAGGUGGAAAAGAUGGAGCUGGAAGACAAAGACGGCUCCGGAUUCCAAAACUUCAAUGGCGUCGCCAAAUUGACGAGCUCAUUAACCUUUGGAGUAUUGUUAUUUAAAAAGUAGGAAAUAAAAGAUAAAUGUGGAAAUAUUUAAUAAAAGAAAAACGUAAGCUCUCAAUUUUCUUUAUUACUUUUUUUUUUUUGAGACGGAGUCUCUCGCUCUGUCGCCCAGUGGCACGAUCUUGGCUCACUGCAAGCUCCGCCUCCCGGGUUUACGCCAUUCUUCUGCCUCAGCCUCCCGAGUAGCCGGGACUACAGGCGCCCGUCACCACGCCCGGCUAAUUUUUUCUAUUUUUUUGGUAGAGACAGGGUUUCACCGUGUUAGCCAGGAUGGUCGCGAUCUCCUGACCUCGUGAUCCUCCCGCCUCGGCCUCCCACAGUGCUGGGAUUACAGGAGUAAGCCACCACCGCUCCCAGCCGAUUUCCUUUAUUUUUUUUCUGGUCCUUGUUUAGCCAUGAUCCAUCGCAGGCUGAGCCCUGACAAACGCAAAGCCUUCCAAACUGGGAAAUUGAGAAAGUUAUUUUCAUCAAUGAAUGUAGAGGCGUCACACUUCUGCCGAAAUAGCUCCACUGGGAAGCAUGCUCUGCUGAAGAUCUCAAAGUUCACGGACUGAUUUCCAGUUUUAUUCUGUCUUCACUCCUGCCGGAUAAUUUGACUUCCCUUAGAUGACGUUACAGAAGUAAUUUUACCUAAGACAGGUGCGCCCUCUAUCGUAAGGAUAUCUUUCAGACUCUUGGUCCACACAAGAGUUGGUGGCACCGGAGAGCUUGUUAGAAGAGCGAAAUCUCAGCUUCACCUCAGACGUACUGAACCAGAAGUAGCAAUUUAACAAGAUCCACAAGAGAUUCUUUUGCACAUUUAAGAAGCAAUAUGACGUGCUUUGACGUGGAUGGAGUAAGGGUGUAUAGUAUAAAUACGCGGCUGUGUUUUUUCCCCCAAUUUUCUAUUCUAACAGAAAACAUAAUUGCAAAAAAUAUAUAUUUCUAUUGCUGAAUCA